rnacentral:rRNA from 1 species
UACGGAGGGUGCAAGCGUUAUCCGGAUUUACUGGGUUUAAAGGGUGCGUAGGUGGGUCUGUAAGUCAGUGGUGAAAUCUCCGGGCUUAACCCGGAAACUGCCAUUGAUACUAUAGGUCUUGAAUAUCCUGGAGGUGAGCGGAAUAUGUCAUGUAGCGGUGAAAUGCGUAGAGAUGUGGAGGAACACCAAUGGCGAAGGCAGCCUUCUGGGCCAACACUGACGCUCAUGCACGAAAGCGUGGGGAGCAAACAGG